rnacentral:lncRNA from 1 species
UUAGUUGUUAUGAGCUUUUAUUUAAAAAGCACAUUUAAUACAAGUAUAGUUUCGCAGAUACAAAUUUUCACUUUGUAUUCUACAAAAGUCUUUGAAUAUUAUUCUCUUUACAAAAUGGAACCUUACAAAAAUACUGGCAAUUUAAUGUUUUUAUACAGUUUUCUCUAGUUGCAGUUAUUUCUUUCAUUGUAAAAACAUCUACCACAGAACUACGGUAUUUUAGUUGAUAUUAAAAAAAAUUAAACUUGAUGCUUUUUUUAAGCAGCUAAUGUAAAUAACACAGGUCGAGACACAGUUUAUAAUCAUAGUGGAUAUAGCUAAAAUUGUUUCAGGACUGCUGCCUCAAGUGGGACCUUGCUUGGAAGGACACUUAUGGAGAGAAGAUGAGGAAACUCUACGGAGAUUUAACCCACGUGUUCUG